rnacentral:rRNA from 1 species
UACGAAGGGAGCUAGCGUUGUUCGGAUUUAUUGGGUUUAAAGGGUGCGUAGGCGGUUUUAUAAGUCAGUGGUGAAAUACAACAGCUUAACUGUUGAGGUGCCAUUGAUACUGUAAGACUUGAGUACAGACGAGGUAGGCGGAAUUGACGGUGUAGCGGUGAAAUGCUUAGAUAUCGUCAAGAACACCGAUAGCGAAGGCAGCUUACUAGACUGUAACUGACGCUGAGGCACGAAAGUGUGGGGAUCAAACAGG